UCACUGUGUUAGCCAGGCUGGUCUCGAUUUCUUGACCUCGUGAUCCACCUGCCUCGGCCUCCCAAAGUGCUGGGAUUACACGCGUGAGCCGCCAUGCCCAGCCAGAAACGCAUCUUUUUCUACAUAGUUGCUGUUGCUGAUGCAAAGAAGUCUCGCGAAUUCAAUCCAAAUAAUUCCACUGCUGUGCUGAGAAAAGGGAUAUGUGAAUACCAUUUAAAAAACUAUGCUGCUGCUCUAGAAACUUUUAUAGGAGGACAAAAAUUAGUUUUUCUUUCUAGGUGCAGAUGCUAAUUUCAGUGACUGGAUUAAAAGGUGUCAAGAAGCUCAGAAUGGUA
rnacentral:lncRNA from 1 species